ACACAUGCAAGUCGAACGGAGAUUACAGGCGGAAGUUUUCGGAUGGAAGCUUGUAAACUUAGUGGCGGACGGGUGAGUAACACGUGAGCAACCUGCCUAUCAGAGGGGGAUAACGAUUGGAAACGAUCGCUAAUACCGCAUGACAUAGCGGGAUCGCAUGGUUCUGUUAUCAAAGAUUUUAUCGCUGAUAGAUGGGCUCGCGUCCGAUUAGAUAGUUGGUGGGGUAACGGCCUACCAAGUCGACGAUCGGUAGCCGGACUGAGAGGUCGAACGGCCACAUUGGGACUGAGACACGGCCCAGACUCCUACGGGAGGCAGCAGUGGGGGAUAUUGCACAAUGGGGGAAACCCUGAUGCAGCGACGCCGCGUGAGGGAAGACGGUCCUCUGGAUUGUAAACCUCUGUCUUCGGGGACGAAACGAGACGGUACCCGAGGAGGAAGCCACGGCUAACUACGUGCCAGCAGCCGCGGUAAUACGUAGGUGGCAAGCGUUGUCCGGAAUUACUGGGUGUAAAGGGAGCGUAGGCGGGCAGGCAAGUCAGGCGUGAAAUAUAUCGGCUCAACCGGUAACGGCGCUUGAAACUGCAGGUCUUGAGUGAAGUAGAGGUUGGCGGAAUUCCUAGUGUAGCGGUGAAAUGCGUAGAUAUUAGGAGGAACACCAGUGGCGAAGGCGGCCAACUGGGCUUUUACUGACGCUGAGGCUCGAAAGUGUGGGGAGCAAACAGGAUUAGAUACCCUGGUAGUCCACACCGUAAACGAUGAUUACUAGGUGUGGGGGG
rnacentral:rRNA from 1 species